UAAUUUUUUUUUUUUUUUUUUUUUUUUUUUUUUUUGAGACGAAUCUCACUCUGUCGCCCAGGCUGGAGUGCCGGUGGCACGAUCUUGGCUCACUGCAACCUCUGCCUUCCAGGUUCGAGUAAUUCUCCUGCCUCAGUCUCCCAAGUAGCUGGGUCUACAAUGAGACUAAUUACAUCCUUCAAUGAAGUACUAUUUUGUGAGAAAGUGAGAAUUCAGUGAUUUAUGAAAAAAUCCAAGCAGGAGAAACAAACAUUUUCUAAUAUGAAAGUAGUAAUGACUACAGCUAUAUAAAUAACAGUAACAAAGAGGUAAGGAAGUGGCAAGUAAUAAGGUCUAUGAGUUGAUUUAAUUUUGGUUUUCAUUUAUUCCUGGAUUAAGAAUAAUUGACUUUUAAUAUCCUUGUGUUUAUCAAUAACAUACGUU
rnacentral:sRNA from 1 species